rnacentral:misc_RNA from 1 species
AAGUCGUAACAAGGUUUCCGUAGGUGAACCUGCGGAAGGAUCAUUAACACGUAUCUACGUUGAUCUCUACCACACCCACUCUGUGAACCGGGAACGAACUCGUUGUUGCGUCGAUCGAGAGAGAUCUCGCUCGUGCAUUUGUUCCGACCCACCCUUUUUUUUCACCCCUGUCUUGACUCUCCGUUUUGAACCCCCCCAGUGGCCUGAUCACGAGGUGUCCCCCAGUGGGACCCGAACCAUAUGGAUUUUCCAAUGAGUUUACACAGCACAACUCUUAGCAAUGGAUAUCUUGGUUCUC